UGGAGGGAUGGGACGGGAUCCACAGCUGGGGAUGCUAUGGGGCGUAGUCAAAGGUGUUCCAGUUCUGAUGAGGAAAGUGAUGAGGAAACGCCCGGGCUAAGGAGAACAGCUGAUAGCGAUGAGGACUUGUAACUGGCAAAAAAUGGGGUUUGGGAGCAAUAGCAAAUUACGUUGGGCAAGGUAAUCUGGACGAACGCUUGGGAUCUGUGUGGGAAGUUUUCCUGAAGACGGGUGUGAUUCGUUUGCUGACUACCUUUGACCUUCCGUCGUCUUCUUGACGGACGCCAUCUGCUUACUCUGGACUUACGGACUGACUGACUACGGCCUCGGAUUCUCCUACCUGUGUCUAUCGUUGGAACUGGUGAACUACAAACGUCUGCAUCUGCCUUACGACCUUCGGAACGGAUUGGGACUUCGCUGACUGCUUCUGCCCUCGUCUGCUGUGUUUGUAUCGGGAAAUUGCCUGCUGUGUGGAGGAGUAACCUCUAAGUUACUCAAACAUAGCUCUUGGCAGCAGAGAAGCAUCUGCUGCCAAUUAGUUGCAUUCCUUUGAACUUUUUGUUCACCAGCUUCUGUUUGUUUAUUCCCAGGCUGAAGCAAGCUGUUUUGAUUUAACCCGGAUUAAACUCCGGUUUAAUCCGGUUUAUCUUUUGAACGUUUUUCUUGUCUCUUUUUACUUUUAAGGCCAGUGUUUGCCUAGCCCUUGUCUUUUACGGGCAUUUUUGGUUCUGUAACUCCAAUAAACUUUGUUAUCUUUUA